rnacentral:lncRNA from 1 species
GGGAGAAGCAGGCUGCACGCAGGAAGUCCGAGGUGGAACUCAAUCCCGGGUCUCCAGGAUCACACCCUGGCCUGCAGGCGGCGCUAAACCGCUGUGCCACCGGGGCUGCCCUUAACUAUACUUUGUAUAUUCACUGCCCACUGAGGGAACAGCCGAGGGCUUUGGAGAGAUGCAGCCCCAGGAUAACUUGAAAGUAGGGCAUGUUUGGCCCUCCUGAAGAGAGAAAAUUAGUGGUUGGUGAACAGUCUGUAUGGCAUUCUCAGAUGCCUUUACCUGAGGGAGAAAUCUGCCUCCAUUCAGACCUCAGAUGUCUCUUGACAGCCCUAUGUGACACUGGGAUAGGAUAUUCCUGUAAGUAUACUGCAGGACAUGUGGCGUUCUACAACAUUGACAACAUUCACUGCAUGUUGAUCAUGUGCCAGAAUUGGUAAACUCAUUCUACAUAUCUUAAUCUUCUCAACAGGCCUAAGAGAUACUGCUGUUAUUUGUCCAAGGUCACACAGUGGGCCCAGAAACUACUGUUGUGUUCAGUUAAUCUGGCUCCAAAGCUAGAGUUUGACUUGGAACUUUUAAGUAUGGUGCCCCCAAGUCUUUCCAACUAAUUCUAAUAAAUAAUUGCUUGCUUUCUUCA